AGUGGAAUUGCUGGGUCAUAUGGUAAUUCUUUAACUUUUUGAGUAACUGCUAAACUGUUUUACAUAGUGGCUGCAACAUUUUUCAUUCCCACCAGCAAU
rnacentral:pre_miRNA from 1 species